GUGCUCACUUUGGCAGCACAUAUAGUAAAAUUGGAAUGAUCAGAGAUUAGCAUGGCCCCUGUGCAAGGAUGGCAUGCAAAUUCGUAAAGCGUUCCAUAUUUUU